GAUGAACGCUGGCGGCGUGCCUAAUACAUGCAAGUCGAGCGAACAGAUGAGGAACUUGCUCCUCUGACGUUAGCGGCGGACGGGUGAGUAACACGUGGAUAACCUACCUAUAAGACGGGGAUAACUUCGGGAAACCGGAGCUAAUACCGGAUAAUAUAUUGAACCGCAUGGUUCAAUAGUGAAAGACGGUUUUGCUGUCACUUAUAGAUGGAUCCACGCCGCAUUAGCUAGUUGGUUAGGUAACGGCUUACCAAGGCAACGAUCCGUAGCCGACCUGAGAGGGUGAUCGGCCACACUGGAACUGAGACACGGUCCAGACUCCUACGGGAGGCAGCAGUAGGGAAUCUUCCGCAAUGGGCGAAAGCCUGACGGAGCAACACCGCGUGAGUGAUGAAGGUCUUCGGAUCGUAAAACUCUGUUAUUAGGGAAGAACAAAUGUGUACGUAACUACGCACGUCUUGACGGUACCUAAUCAGAAAGCCACGGCUAACUACGUG
rnacentral:rRNA from 1 species